rnacentral:lncRNA from 1 species
GGGAAAGGACUGUUCUGACUGCCAUGCUGAGAACGGCUCCAGGGCGCAGAGCGAUCACAUCAGAUGGGGGUUAUUGCCAUCAUCCCCGCUCGCUCGAGAGGAGGAAGUGGGCUGGAAUGGGGUCGAGGUGAGCCUGGUGCUGGUGAGAAGAGGAGCAUAUGAUUUGAAAGAAGAGACAAUAGGAUUCACUGAAAGACAAAAAGAAUCGAUAUUAAACUGCAGAAGAAUUGAAAUAAAUUUUGAGGAAAAUUUCACAACAAUGAGAGUUAAACAUUGGAAGGCUAUUCUGCCUGCCUUCGGGACUGAGUUCAUCAGCCCUGACUUCUGGCCCCUUGGCAGUUGGUGCAUGUUGAAGAAGGAGGAGACUUCACAAGGAAGUUCUCACUUGAACACUCACUAGUGCUGUACGCAGGGUUUGGCUCUCUUGGACUCCUCAGAGCCUCGCUUUUGGGGACUUCUUGUCUACCGCACCUCAGCAUGUGCAUUACUCUUCAUGUGGGGUUCUGCAACUCCCUAGGAAUUCCAAGUCCACCUCCAGUUUCUCCUGGCCAGGAUCCCUUUUCUCUCCUGGAGAUCCAAGCCAAUACCAACCCCAGAGCUCUCUCCCAUAGGAAACUUUCAUUUAACUUUCGUCCUGAGCAGUGGAGCCCCAGGGCUGCCCUUGGAGCAGCUGGCCCAUCGCACGCUCUGGAUCCCCAUGGCAAUUUGAACUCCUCUCUGCGGUCCCACAUGGUUAACUCUCUCCCAACAUCUGCUGAAGCUGGCGCCCCUGUUUGCAGCGUCCGUGACACGUGGGUGCCACAGUGCACAGUGCCCUCGGGUGUUGGUGGGCGUGCAGCAUUUCUACAGCUCUCCCGCACACCUGCUCCUUCGUGG